rnacentral:rRNA from 1 species
UACGUAGGGGGCGAGCGUUGUCCGGAAUUAUUGGGCGUAAAGAGCUCGUAGGCGGUUUGUCGCGUCGACUGUGAAAACCCGAGGCUUAACCUCGGGCCUGCAGUCGAUACGGGCAGACUAGAGUUCGGUAGGGGAGACUGGAAUUCCUGGUGUAGCGGUGAAAUGCGCAGAUAUCAGGAGGAACACCGAUGGCGAAGGCAGGUCUCUGGGCAUUAACUGACGCUGAGGAGCGAAAGCAUGGGGAGCGAACAGG